CAGCCGCCACGGGAAUACGGAGGGAGCUAGCGUUGUUCGGAAUUACUGGGCGUAAAGCGCGCGUAGGCGGUUACUCAAGUCAGAGGUGAAAGCCCGGGGCUCAACCCCGGAACUGCCUUUGAAACUAGGUGACUAGAAUCUUGGAGAGGUCAGUGGAAUUCCGAGUGUAGAGGUGAAAUUCGUAGAUAUUCGGAAGAACACCAGUGGCGAAGGCGGCUAACUGGUCCAUAACUGACGCUGAGGUGCGAAAGCGUGGGGAGCAAACAGGAUUAGAUACCCCUGUAGUCCCUGUCUCUUAUAC
rnacentral:rRNA from 1 species